GCAUAUCUUAGAGCUUUAUCAAAAUAAAAAAUAAAAUGAAAUUACAUUCAAAUCCAAUUUAAUAAAAAUUCUCAACUUUUAAUCCACAUAAAUAAUUUUAAUGUAACCCACCUCCUCUUUAAUAUAAACUGCAUCUUGAUCUGAUUCAUUUCUUAAUAAAGAACCUUGACUAUUCAAAAUCUUUUAAAAUAAUCUAACACGACGAUAUACAAAUUAAUAAAAAAAGCUAUUUUUAUUGUGGACUAUCAAUUACGGGGCAGGUUCCUCUGAAAAGACUAAAAUACCGCCAAAAUCUUUUGUUUUCAAGAAGUUAACUAUUAAUAACCUAGGGUUAAACUUUACAUUAAAAUAAU
rnacentral:rRNA from 1 species